AUACGGAGGGUCCAAGCGUUAUCCGGAUUCAUUGGGUUUAAAGGGUCCGCAGGCGGGAAAAUAAGUCAGUGGUGAAAGCCUACAGCUCAACUGUAGAACUGCCAUUGAAACUGUUUUUCUUGAGUAUAGAUGAAGUGGGCGGAAUAUAUCAUGUAGCGGUGAAAUGCAUAGAUAUGAUAUAGAACACCGAUUGCGAAGGCAGCUCACUAAACUAUUACUGACGCUCAGGGACGAAAGCGUGGGGAGCGAACAGGAUUAGAAACCCGGGUAGUCC
rnacentral:rRNA from 1 species